UUUGUGGAAUAGAAGCUGAAAACUCCUUGCUGCUUGAACAACUUAUAUUGUUUCCAUUUCUGCUGGCACUACUCGAAAUACCUGCAGGUACACAAUAGUUAAUUUCACAUAAAGUUCCAUGAUAGAGUUUGAGCUUGCAACUUCCAUUUUACAAAUGAUUU